AUGAUUCAUCAAUUCCACUCCUCCCGCCUACAGACGUCUAAAUUUCAGUUUUCUGAGAAGCUACAAAGCGUGAAGUGGCAUCUCCGCAUUGAGUCAGAGGACACUGAGUGUUAAACUGUAAUACCGCCAAGAGUUUGGUGUCAACCCUCUUAACCUGUUUUCCGGUGAAACUGAGGCUUGGAGAUCAAAGCAGAUGCUGAGAUGUCUCACCAAGUACUACUGCCUUUCUUGUCAAGAUCAAGCCAACAACCAGGUACUACCACCUUUGCAACUUCAGGGAAAAGUGAGACAAGGAGAGAUGGUGGAGGAGCUAGAGGUGGCACCGGGAAAGUGGAAUAAGAUACCGCUGACAGGGGUGCCCAUGCUGCACACACCCCACGUUGGGGGCCGCAGAACAAGGGGAGCGAGGAUCGUUUGUUUACGAGCUCUGAUUCAUUCAUUCCUUGGCCAGGAGCUGUGAAAUGUAAAUCUCACAUUCCGCAGGACAAUCCCAGCGCCAGCUUGAGCUCAUUUGGAGGUGUGAUGUUCCACUCAAAAGGAGGCUGUUAAUUUUAUUGACCAAAUUUGGAAAGCGGGAGCUCCAAAAUUAAAUGGAGCCUUCGGAAAAGAAAUGAAAAUUUAGGCUUCUCAAAGACCUGGAGAGGGGUCACAUGGUUUUAUUUUUUUGUCUCCCUCCCUAA
rnacentral:lncRNA from 1 species